rnacentral:rRNA from 1 species
CCUACGGGAGGCAGCAGUGGGGAAUUUUGGACAAUGGGCGCAAGCCUGAUCCAGCCAUGCCGCGUGAGUGAAGAAGGCCUUCGGGUUGUAAAGCUCUUUCGGCCGGAACGAAACGCUCUGGGUUAAUACCUGUGAUGACUGAUGGUACCGGA